ACUAAUUACACAGAGAACACUUCUAGCACAGCAAAUGUCUCUGCUUGAACACAAUUGGAGACUAGAAGAAUAUGAGAGGAGAAUAUGUUCUUGUCCUGUUAUCACUCUUCCCUUGGGAUCUGCUCAUUGCAGCUAUUGGAGAUGGGUCUGAAUGGACAUCUGUUUUGAUGCAUAAUGGACCUUCACAUAGUGAAUAACAUCUACAUUUUGAAAAAUCCUACAUCAUGCUUCAUCUCACAAGCUGCUUUCAGAAUAUCUUUUGGAAAAGCUGUGCGUUUUUCUCCCAGCAUUUAGAACUGAACUACUCUCAGAAAUUCCAGGUAUUUGGCAUCUCCUUUAAAGUUCAUGAACGUGGAGAAUUUCCCUUGAAAGCUCUCUGUUCCUUUAUACUCCCAGAUUCUUCCACCACUACACAGGAGAGAUCAUGACUACAAAUGUGGUAUUAGCAGAAGGAAUGGAAGGACUCCUGAAGGAAACAACAUAUCUAAAUGUCUCAGUAGUAGAGAACAUAAUAAAGAACAACAGAAGAUAU
rnacentral:lncRNA from 7 species